UCUCACAACAUCAAGUGAGGAAAAUCUUUUAAAGAAUUAUGUUUUAACAAUAGUCGAAUAAAAAGAUAGUAAUACUCACAAUCAUAUAAGUCACAUAAAGAAAAGAGGGUCUGAAACAAGGAACCUUUAAUAGAGUCAAGUAUACUUUCAAACAAGCAGUCUCGGACCAAAAGACCUAAGGUUUUCCACAAUAUCGAGUUUUAAAAGAUGGUAAAAUACGGAAUCAAAUAAGUCAAACAAGAACGGAGAACUAAAUCAAACCACAUCACACUUAAAAAAACAAUUUCAAAAUUUGGAUGAAACCAAAAAGAAAUUAGGGUUUUCAACAUGCUGACUCAGAUAGAAGAACAAUAUGAGCAAGACAUAGCAAAAUCAAAGAUAACAUAGAGAAUUAGAGGAGAUUUUUUUAAAAAAAGGAGGUUAAGAGAAACCCUAAUUGGAGAAAAUGAAUGGCCG
rnacentral:lncRNA from 1 species